rnacentral:rRNA from 1 species
CACGUAGGGGGCAAGCGUUGUCCGGAUUCAUUGGGCGUAAAGAGCUCGUAGGCGGUUCGAUAAGUCGGGUGUGAAACCUCCAGGCUCAACCUGGAGACGCCACCCGAUACUGCUGUGGCUAGAGUCCGGUAGGGGAGCGUGGAAUUCCUGGUGUAGCGGUGAAAUGCGCAGAUAUCAGGAGGAACACCGGUGGCGAAGGCGGGUCUCUGGGCCGAUACUGACGUGAGGAGCGAAAGCGUGGGGGAGCGAACAGG